ensembl:lncRNA
AUGUAGACCACAAACUUUUAUUUCCAACACAUCACAUGAAAAUCCACAGAAAAGGGGAAAAAAUAGCAAACUUUAUAAAACUGAAAAUUGUACCGGUGAAAUCACUUAUCCAGAAAGUCAAAACCCAGGCCAGAAAUGAAGAAAAAAUAUUUGCAAACUACACAUGUGAUAAAGAACUUGUACCUGCAUAAUAUAAAGUGCUAUGAAACAAGCAGCUACGUUAAAAAAAUGGGUACCAGGAGCUUAUUUAACUAAUAUGCAGAGUACAUCAUGUAAAAUGCUGGGCUGGAUGAAACUCAAGCCGGAAUCAAGAUUGCCAGAAUAAAAUUAUCUCAUACGCAGAUGACACCACCCUUAUGGCAGAAAGCAGAGAGAAACUAAAGAGCCUCUUGAUGAAGGUAGAAGAGGAGAGUGAAAAUGCUGGCUUAAAACUCAGCAUUCAGAAAGCUAAGAUCAUGUCAUCCGAUCCCAUCACUUCAUGGCAAACAGAUGGGGAAACAGUGGAAACAUUGACAGACUUGUUUUCUUGGGCUCCAAAAUCACUGUGGAUGGUGACUGCAGCCAUGAAAUUAAAAGAUGCUUGUUCCUUGGAAGAAAAGCUAUGACCAACCUAGACAAUAUAUUAAAAAGCAGAGACAUCUGCUGACAAAGGUUGGUAUAGUCAAAGCUGUGGUUUUUCCAGUAGUCAUGUAUGGAUGUGAGAGUUGGACCACAAGGAAGCCUGAAUUGAUGCUUUCAAACUGUGGUGCUGAAGAAGACUCUUGAGUCCCGUGGACUGCAAGGAGAUCCAAUCAGUCCAUCCUAAAGGAGAUCAGUCCUGGCUGUUCAUUGGAAAGACUGAUGCUGAAGCUGAAGCUCCAAUAUUUAGGCCACCUGAUUCGAAUGAAGAACUGACUCCCUGGAAAAGAUCCUGAUGCUGGGGAAGAUUGAAGGCAGGAGGAGAAGGGGACGACAGAGGAUGAGAUGGUUGGAUGGCAUCACUGAUCAAUGGACAUGAGUUUGAGCAAACUCUGGGAGAUGGUGAUGGACAGGGAGGCCUGGCGUGAUGCAGUCCAGGGGGUUGCAGAGUUGGACACGACUGAGCGACUGAACAGCAGCCAGUGCCUCCACCAUCGCCUCCUCUGGGCCACCUUGCUCUAGAUGUGCCCAGGCGGCUUCGGGAGCCCAGUGUCUCCCGGCUCUCACCUCACCCCAGCGCUGCCCAGGGCUGUUUGUCAGAAACUGUGCUGGUUACAAAGAGAAGAUGCUCCUUCCCCAUGGCCCUCCCAGGGCAAGGGGCACUUUUAAACAGGCACUUCCAGGAUGGGAAGCCACCUGGGCAGAAGCCUUCCAGAACCCGACUCACCUGGGCAGCCCAUGGAGUUUAUCUGGCCUCCCCCAACCAGGCCUCCACAUCUCCCCUCCUCUCCCUCACUCCUGGGCUCCUCUCCUGGGGAGAGUUCUUUUCUUUUUUUAAGAUUCAUUCAUUUAUUUUACUGCUGGCUGUGGUAGGACUUUAUCACUGCACACGAGCCUCCUCUCUGGUUGUCGGGAGUGGGGGCUCCUCCUCGCCAAGGUCAGCGGGCUUCGCAUCGUGGCGCCUUCUCUUGCCUGGAGCUCAGGCUCCAGAUGGGCCAACUUCAGUAGUUGCAGUGCGUGGGUCCCAGCGCACAGGCUCAGCUGCUGGGGCGCAGCCUCACUCUCUCUGAGGCAUGUGGGAUCAUCCUGGCCAGAGAUCACCAGAGAUCGAACUGGUGUCCCAUGCUUUGCAAGGUGGAUUAAUAACCACUGGACCACCAGGAACGCAUGACAGGUCUUCUUGAAAUUGUUUCCCACUUAUAGGCCAGUUAACAUACUUAGCAGACAGACCAGAGCUGCAGCCCCACGUCCAUCCUGACCUUCAGGACACAGCUGGUCCGUGGACUUGGGACAGCAGGGCCCGUUUUCUGUAAAUGAGCCCCUGGUGGGCAAGGAUCGGCUGACCCGGGCAGCGUGACCCAGCUGGCCAGCCCUUCCCAGGUGUGCCUGCUUGAGGCCCUGGUUCCAGGCAGGAGGGCGCCUGCAGCGGUACCAGACAUCACCUUCUCUGCCAUCAGAGGCCGCAGGGCUGGGCUGGCGAGAGGGAAUGAGGGGCCGUGGCGUGUCAGGGGGUCGCCUGCACGGGGCUCUGCUGGGCCUUCUGCAGGAGUUGCUAGGCUGCCACUUGAUAAGGAAGAGGUUGUGUUGCUGGUACCUGCUGUUGGAAGUCUUCCCAGGCAGAGUCAGGUCUGAGAGACGAACAGAAUCAGGUCAGAAUGAGGACCAGAGCUGGGAAUCAGUGAGGAGCAGAGCCGGGCCAUACCGACGAGUGGAGCAGGGCCUCAGGGAAGUACAGCUGGGCCUCUGUGAGGGGCGGAGACUUGCCUCAGAGAAGCAGAGUCAGGCUUCAAGGAGGAGAGCGGAACCUCAGUGAGAAGUGAGCCAGGCCUCAGUGUGGAGUGGGGCGGAGCAGGGCCUCAGAGUAGCAAAGUCUGGACUCAGAGGGGCAGAGCUGAACCUCAGUGAGAAGCAAGCCAGGCCUCAGAGAAGCAAAGUUGGGCCUAAGCGAGGAGCAGAGCGAGGACUCAGUGAAGGCCGGAGGCGAGCCUUAGGACCAGACUGGGCCUCGGCGAUACCCUGUUUUUCCCUGCUGGUGCCAGUUUCUCAAGACUACAUGACCACCCGACCAUGAGACCCCUUUGACUAUGUGACCACAGGACUCCAGCUGUGGGCUAAGGAUAAACCCCUCUGGGGCACAAUUUCCCAUCGAUACGGUAUAAGAAGGGUUGGCUGUAACAAGAGAGCACUGGUUUCUCUCUAAAACCACUUUCUUUCUUCCUAUAAUAAAUAUUUCUCUGCCUGACUGUCCGGCUCACUCUCCUUUUCUCCAUGCUCGCCUUACAGCCAGGACUCAGAGUAGCAAAGUCAGGCCUCAGGAAGAGAAUGGAACCUCAGUGAGAAGCGAGCCGGAACUCACUGAGGUUGUAGCCAUGCCCCGGUGUGGAGUGGAGCCUGGCCUCAGUGAGGUCCAGAGCCGGGACUCAGAGUAGUCAAGUCAAUCCUCAGGAAGAGGGAGAAGAGAACCUCAGUGAGAAGCCAGCUGGGCUCAGUGAGAACCCUAGCCAGACCCCAGUGUGGGUGGAGCCAGUCCUCAGUCAGAGAGAAGCUGGGUCUCACUGAGGAGCAGAGCCAGACCUCAGAGAGGACCCGAGUCCAGUCUCUAUGUGGAGUGUAGCUGGGCCUCAGUGUAGAAUGGAGUCUUGCCUCAGAGAACCAAAUUCCGUCCUCAAGGAGGACCAGGCUGGGCCUGAGUGAAGAGUGGAGGUGAACCUUCACUCUCAGUGAAGGAACGUUGGGCUUCAGUGAGGAGGGUAGCUGAACCACAGUGAGGCCCAGAGCAGGACUCAGUGCUGGAGCUGAAUCUCAGUGAGGCCCAGAGCAGGACUCAGUGCUGGAGCCAGGCCCCGGUGCGGAGCAGAGCCAGGCCUACCUGAGGAGUGGCGCUGGCCCCAAGUGAGGAGGGGAGCCUGGCCUCAGAGUAGCAGUCAGGCCUCACGGAGGUGAACCAAACCUCGGUUAGAAGCAAGCCAAAUCUCUGUGAGGACCAGAGCCGGGGCUCACUAAGGACCUGAGCGUGGACUGGAGCUGUGCUUCACUGAGGACGAUACCGUGGCCUCACCGAGAACCACAGCCAGGCCCAUUGCAGGGCGGAGCUGUGCGGCAGUGCUGAGCGGAGCCAGGCCUCUGCAGGAGGAGCUGGGUCUCACGGAGCGGAGCCGAGCGGAGCCUGGCCUCAGUGCGGACCCUACCCGGGCCCCAGAGCACAUCACAGGACCGGAGUGGAACCUCAGUGAGGACGGGAGACAGGCCUCAGUGGGGACCAGAGCCGGUCCUCAUUGUGGACUGGAGCUGGUUCUCAGUGGAGAGCAGAGCCAGGCCUCAGAGGAGCAAAGUCAUGCCUCAAGGAGGAGCACAGCUGAACUGCAGUGAGAAGACAGCCUGGCCUCUGUGAGGACCGUAACCAGGCCCGUGUGGAGCAGAGCUGUCCUCACCGAGGAGGGAGCCGGACCUCAGGGAGCAAGGGAGGCACACGUGAUUGCGCAGUGGGGCCAGGCCUCACCGAGGACCACAGCCAGGCCCAGUGAGGGGCAGAGCCUUGCCGGGUCUCAGUGCGGAGAGGACCUGGCGUGCUGAGCUGAGCCGAGACUCAGGCAGGGGUGCAGCUGGACUUCAGUGAGGAGCAGAGCCAGCUCUCAGCGUUGAGGUCCGGAGCCAGGCCUCUGUGUGGACCAGAGCCGGGACGUAUGAGUACCGGAACCGGGACUCAGAGUAGCAAAGUCAGGCCUGAGAGAGGUGGAGAAUGGAGCGUCAGUGAGAAGUGAGCUGGGCCUCACUGAUCACCAGAUCUGGACCCCCGUGUGGCAUGGAACCAGGCCUCAGUGCAGGGCCCCACUGAAGACUGGAGUUAGGCCCUAGUGGGGAGCAGAGCCACGUCUUAGUGUGAAGCAGACCC